CGUGUAGGCGGAAAAGUAAGUGUCUUGUGAAAUCCCUCGGCUCAACCGAGGAAUAGCUCGGCAAACUGCUUUUCUUGAGGCAAAUAGGGGUGCAUGGAACUCUAGGUGGAGCGGUGAAAUGCGUAGAUAUCUAGAGGAACGCCCGCGGAGAAAUCGGUGCACUGGAUUUGAUCUGACGCUGAGACGCGAAAGCAUGGGUAGCGAACAGGAUUAGAUACCCUGGUAGUCC
rnacentral:rRNA from 1 species